rnacentral:rRNA from 1 species
UACGUAGGUGGCAAGCGUUGUCCGGAUUUACUGGGCGUAAAGAGCGCGCAGGCGGUCGAAUAAGUCGAAUGUGAAAGCCCCCGGCUCAACUGGGGAGGGUCAUUCGAUACUGCUCGACUUGAAGGCAGGAGAGGGUAGUGGAAUUCCCGGUGUAGUGGUGAAAUGCGUAGAUAUCGGGAGGAACACCAGUGGCGAAGGCGACUACCUGGCCUGUUCUUGACGCUGAGGCGCGAAAGCUAGGGUAGCAAACGGG